rnacentral:ribozyme from 1 species
UGCACUCAAACAGGCAACCUUCACGUGGUGAGUGUGUUAAGUAAUGAGUUAAAUAAAUCUUCCAGUUUGUACUCAUGAAAACCAAUGCCUU